GAAGGAUCCUUCGUGGCUGCUUUCACUGACAAACCCAGGAACUCUGCAGUCCAGCUGGAUCUGGCUUCUACUGCCCUUCUGAUCUUUCUGUGGAUGGCUGUGGAAUUCUCAGCCUCACACUGCAACUCCCCUCCAUGCCAGGCCCCGCUGCGGGGUGCUGAAGAUGCCUUCUGUUAGUAGGAAGAGUUCAGAUCUCUCAUUCACUCCCUCCCGGGCAGGGAGGAGUUGCCUUGGCCUUGGGACACAGCCUGCAAGUCCUCUGCGAAUUCUGAAGCAGUCCCACUCGUCCCCCUCCCUCACAACUACUGUGUGCUACCUGCUGCUGAAGAUCUCUGCCCAUCUGGGAUUUUUCUUAGCAAUGGGGUUCUAGAAGAGUCUAUAGAAUAAAAGGACUUCUGGUGUAUAUGGUAA
rnacentral:lncRNA from 1 species